UGAUAGGACCAGCGCCGUUGCUUUAGCGUCCCUCUCUUUGGUUAUGAUGAUAUGCAAUUAGGGCACGCCGAUUGUGCGCGACGUCAUUCUACUCAUACCAACACUACAUAUGAGAUCUAUAAGCGUCAAAACAAAACUUUAUCCAUGGAGUAUCAUGAAAGGUUCCAAUAUAAUUUUCAACAACUGUGAUUUCUUAAAUAUGGGUAGAUAUGUAUCAUCAAGAUGACAUAUUUUUAAAAAGGUAAUAACUAUGUAAUUUUUAUA